AGGUGACUCGUUCCGUACCAGCCCGCCGGUUGGCGUGUCCGGGAUUAAAUCAAACAGCCAGGCUAAGUAUGUAGAACUGCCUGUAGAGGGCUUGCGGACGCGGGUUCAAUUCCCGCCGUCUCCACCA
rnacentral:tmRNA from 1 species